AAUGGCUGGGCCUUUGUGCCGUGAUAUCGACGCUGUGACUAUCAAAAGAAGCAACCAUGCCGGCUACCAUAAGAAUUGUUGAAUCAGUGAAUCCUUAAAGAGUGCAACAUCAAAGCACAAUCGCUGUAUCCUGCUCAGCUGAGAAUCUUUCUUGCAUCAGGUACUAAAGUUUUCCCCUCGCUGCUGGAGGCACGCUCUACAUUGGAAAAGCUGGGUGUGAAAGUGGAGAUAGACGACAGAGAAGCUCUGGAAAUGGAACUGGCCCAAAACGCCUGGACAACACAAUCCGGCGGGAGGAGGAGCCAAUGCCAACCGAAAACAUCGGAGAUAAGAAGUUUUAUUCAAUGGGACUGAAUGAGAAGCAGAAUGACAUCGUUCACAGUAUCGAACAGCUGAAUGACAAAGUUGAUGCACUACAUCCUUGGACCAUCCCUGAAAGUGUCGGUUCCCAGACAUACCAGGAGAGAGAACAAUGUGGACACCCAGUCACAGUAGAGAGGCACUGUGGUGUCUGGUCUCUCUCCGGCUGCUAAUGCAACAUGGCAGAAUCCGCUACAAAACAUUAAUU